rnacentral:rRNA from 1 species
GACGAACGCUGGCGGCGUGCUUAACACAUGCAAGUCGAACGGAAAGGCCCUGCUUUUGUGGGGUGCUCGAGUGGCGAACGGGUGAGUAACACGUGAGUAACCUGCCCUUGACUUUGGGAUAACUUCAGGAAACUGGGGCUAAUACCGGAUAGGAGCUCGUGCUGCAUGGUGGGGGUUGGAAAGUUUCGGCGGUUGGGGAUGGACUCGCGGCUUAUCAGCUUGUUGGUGGGGUAGUGGCUUACCAAGGCUUUGACGGGUAGCCGGCCUGAGAGGGUGACCGGCCACAUUGGGACUGAGAUACGGCUCAGACUCCUACGGGAGGCAGCAGUGGGGAAUAUUGCACAAUGGGCGGAAGCCUGAUGCAGCAACGCCGCGUGCGGGAUGACGGCCUUCGGGUUGUAAACCGCUUUCGCCUGUGACGAAGCGUGAGUGACGGUAAUGGGUAAAGAAGCACCGGCUAACUACGUG